rnacentral:rRNA from 1 species
GACGAACGCUGGCGGCGUGCUUAACACAUGCAAGUCGAACGGAAAGGCCUUUUCGGAGGUACUCGAGUGGCGAACGGGUGAGUAACACGUGGGUGAUCUGCCCUGCACUCUGGGAUAAUCCUGGGCAACUGGGUCUAAUACCGGAUAGGACCGCACUUUGGUGUGUGUGGUGGAAAGUUUUUUCGGUGUAGGAUGAGCCCGCGGCCUAUCAGCUUGUUGGUGGGGUACUGGCCUACCAAGUCGGCGACGGGUAGCCGGACUGAGAGGUUGGUCGGCCACAUUGGGGCUGAGAAACGGCCCAGAAUCCUACGGGAGGAAGCAGUGGUGAAGAUUACACAACGGGGGCAAGAAUGAUGAAGCGACGCCGCGUGGGGGAUGAAGGAGUUCGGGUUGUAAAAUACUUUCGCCAGGGACGAAGCGUUAUGUGACGGUACCAGGAGAAGAAGCACCGGCUAACUACGUG